rnacentral:rRNA from 1 species
UACAGAGACUGCGAGCGUUAUUCGGUUUCACUGGGCGUAAAGGGUGCGCAGGUGGCUAGGUGUGUUAGGCGUGAAAGCCCGGGGCUUAACCCCGGAAUUGCACCUAAAACUACUUGGCUAGAGCAUUGGAGAGGGGAGCAGAAUUCAUGGUGUAGCAGUGAAAUGCGUAGAUAUCAUGAGGAAUACCAGAGGCGAAGGCGGCUCCCUGGACAAUUGCUGACACUCAGGCACGAAAGCGUGGGGAGCAAAAGGG